AUUGAACGCUGGCGGCAUGCUUUACACAUGCAAGUCGAACGGUAACAGGCCGCAAGGUGCUGACGAGUGGCGAACGGGUGAGUAAUGCAUCGGAACGUGCCCAGUCGUGGGGGAUAACUACUCGAAAGAGUAGCUAAUACCGCAUACGAUCUAUGGAUGAAAGCGGGGGACCGUAAGGCCUCGCGCGAUUGGAGCGGCCGAUGUCAGAUUAGGUAGUUGGUGGGGUAAAGGCUCACCAAGCCAACGAUCUGUAGCUGGUCUGAGAGGACGACCAGCCACACUGGGACUGAGACACGGCCCAGACUCCUACGGGAGGCAGCAGUGGGGAAUUUUGGACAAUGGGCGCAAGCCUGAUCCAGCAAUGCCGCGUGCAGGAAGAAGGCCUUCGGGUUGUAAACUGCUUUUGUACGGAAAGAAACGGCUCUGGUUAAUACCCGGGGCUAAUGACGGUACCGGAAGAAUAAGCACCGGCUAACUACGUG
rnacentral:rRNA from 1 species